rnacentral:tRNA from 1 species
CAAGUUAUCUUUAAGUAAGUGUUGUUAUUUACAAUAAUAAUAUAAAUUGUGCAAUUCAAUUUAACUUGA